AGGCAUCACCUCCUAAUAUAUCUGCCUCGUCUAGACGAAUCGGAGGCGUGUAAUGAUUUGAAACUCAUCCUGAAAUAUCUGUGGACUGUGCUGACCGUGCUGAGAUGAGUGGUUCGGCGAGGCGGACCUUGGAAACACCUACAUGGCCAUCACGACUGAAGUGGUGUUCACCGACAGGUAAAAUGCAGGUGCAACCUUCACAGACUGACAGAGAUUGAGUGAUAACAGACACUGGUGACCCUCCAAGCGAUGGCUGGUGACCGCCUGCCACCAUCCACAGGCUGUCACACAAGGAGCCCUGGGAGUAACCUUGCUGGAAGCCCCGCGGGCCGCGGUGUGUGGCUGGCGUUAUACAGCCCCCAGCCAUUGCCUGGAGGGCAUCCAGUGUCUGUUAUCACUCACCUUAGGUAGUCUGUGAAGGUCCAGUCAUCACUGGUGCACGUGUAUCUUACCUGUGAUCAACACCGGCAGCCACAGACUCCUGCCCAAGGAACGAACACAGUGAUCGUGAUGACAUUGACAACAACGAGCAAGUCCUCCUAGACCUAGAGUGACCUCAAGCUGGGCCAAACAUGAUGUGGAAGAAGAAAUCAGUUGUCUCCAUCAGUCGGGUUUGUGCCAUGGCAGCUUUCUCCAGCUGUCCGGCAGAGGUCCAGUCCAUGCCAUGGAGAAAUUCAGCCCCAACAAUGAGAUGGCAUGCCAGAGAUGGAUCCGCAGCUUCUCCUCCAAUCAGUCAAUCCUUGCAAUGCCCUUUCUCUUUUCUCUUCUUCUGUACCACCAUGCUUACACAUAACUGAUCCAAGGUACUUAAACUCGUUAACCUCCUCCAUUUCUUCACCAUUCAAAAUUAUUUGGCAUUCUUUUUCACAUUCAAUGCCCACUCUAUAUGGGCAUACAAACUCUACAACCUCCCUUCUACUCCGCUCACAAACCAUCACUUUACUUUUGUUGACAUUUACUUUCAACUUUCUCCUUUUACAUACACUAUCAAAAACACUGACCAAAUUUUGUAAGUCACUUUCAUUUUCUGCAUUGAGCACUGUGUCAUCAGCAAAUAAGAUUGAAUUCAUCACCCACUUCCCUCCCUCCCUCAGCAUACAUUUUUACUCCAAUUUCCCCAACUUUGCCCUUCAUUUCUCAUAACACCAUCCAUAUAAAUAUUGAACAACCAUGGUGACAUGACACACCCCUGCCUUAAGCCCACUUUCAUCUCAAAAUGUUCACUUGUUUCUCCAGUAAUUUUGACAUAUGCAGAUGCAUCCUCAUAGAAAGACUUUAUUGCAUUAAGCAGUUUUCCUCCCACACCAUAUACCUUUAAGAUGUCCCAUGUACAAUGCCAGCCAAUCGACUCUGUCAUAAACUUUCUCUAGAAUACCUAGAUCCAUGAAGGCAGCAUAGUAUUUUUUCCUUUUGCUAAUAUUUUUUCUACUACCAACUUGAACGAAAAAUCUGAUCCACACAUCCCCUUCCCUCCCUGAAGUCUCCUUGUUCUUCACUGAUUUUCUCUUCUGUAAGUCUUUGCACAAUCUCAAUUAGGACUUUUACAUAUACCUUUCCAUGUAGCCUACACUCAGCAGACUUAUACCCCUACAACUCCCACCUCCCCUCUCCUGCCCUUCCUCUUGUAAACUGGGACCAUGAUGGCUUUUAUCAAGUCUGCUGGGACCUCCCCCCCCCCUUCCCAGGCCACUUCACAUAUCUUGACCAUUCAUAUAGUAACUUCAUCUCCACACUUCAACAUUUCUGCUGUGAUUCCGCUCAAUUCAUUCAUCAUCAUCAUCUCAUCAACGCCUGCUCCUAGGAGCUCCCACCAGGGGAUUACCACGGCAGAAGUUUCCAUCUUUCUCUAUCCGGACACUCCCUCCUUGCCCGCUCAAAGUUUCUCAAGGAUCUUUCACCCUUCUCCCUAACGUACUCCUGCACCCUAUCCCUCCAUUUCACUGGAGGUCGUCCUCUAGCAUUCCCUUCCUUUAUCUCACUCACAUACACCCUUCUGGUCAUCUUACUCUCCUCCAUUCGCUCCAUGUGGCCAAACCACUUUAAAGUCUGUCACUUCACUUCUUCCACCACUCCACACUUCCUCCCUUCACCACCGUGACACAUUCCAAAACGCCUGUACACACUUUCAUUACUCAUUCCAUCCAUUCUACUCACACCACAAGCACUCCUCAAAUAACAAAUUUUCACUGCCUUUCAUUCCAGGCCCAUGUUUCAGUUGCAUAUGUGAGGGUUGGUACUAUUAUUGUAUUUUUAACUGAUAACUGAUCCAAGGUACUUAAACUCAUUGACCUCCUCCAUUUCUUCACCAUUCAAAAUAAUUUUGCAUUCUUUUUCACAUUCAGUUCCCUCUCUAUAUGGGCAUUUAAAAUCUACAACCUCACUUUUACUCCCCCCACAAACCAUCACUUUACUUUUGUUGACAUUUACUUUCAGCUUUCUCCUUUUACAUACACUAUCAAAAUGAGCACCGUGUCAUCAGUAAACAGGAUUGAAUUCAUCACCCACUUCCUUCCCUCAGCAUACAUUUUUACUCCAACUUCCCCAACUUUGCCCUUCAUUUCUCUCAUGACACCAUCCAUAUAGAUAUUGAACAACCACGGUGACAUGACACACCCCUGCCUUAAUCCCACUUUUAACUCAAAAUGUUCACUUGUUUCUCCAGUAAUUUUGACACAUGCACAUGCUCCUCAUAGAAAGACUUUAUUGCACUGAGCAGUUUUCCUCCCACACUGUAAAUCUUUAAAACAUCCCACAAUGCAAUCCAAUCCAAUUGACUCUGAAGAAAAAUAUCUGAUUGAUUCCAUCAGUUCCUGCUGCUUUUCCAUUUUUUAAUCUUUUCAUUGCUUGAUUUACUUGUUCAUAUGUUAUACUUCUUUCUUUAUAUACUCCUCCUCUACCUCCACUCAAAACUGUUGUUGUUACAGCUGCUGGACGUCCAUCAUCAAAAUUCAUUAAGUUUUCACAGCUUCCCCGUCUUUCAACAUCUUUCCAUUCUCAUCCAUAACUUCAUUAAUUUUACUUGGGGAGAUAUUAUUGGGGUGAUGCAUUUCUUUCGUUUUUUACUUCUUUCCAAUAUGAUUUUGUGUUCCCUUUUCACUUAGUCUUUUUCCAAAGUCUUCAUCAACUCUCUUCUUGCUUUCUUUUAUGGCUUGUUUUAAUUACAUUUUGCAUUCUCUAUAUUUCUUUUUCCUUUCCCUUUUUACUUGCUCAGCCACAUUUCUUUCUUGAGUUUUCUUAAAAAGUUCCCUUUAUUCUUUUACUAUCCUCCUUAUCUUUUGUCCACCAUGAAUUUCCUUUUAUUUUUCCAUCCCUCACCACUUUCAUUCCUACCACUUUUUUGUUGUAGUUAACACUACUUUGAAUGUUCCAAAAACUUUUUCAAUAUCUAUCUGUACUAUCUUUCACACUCCCAUUUUUCACUUAAGGCCUCUGCCAUUUCAUGUUAUACUCAUCUUUUAUUUCUUUUCCUGUAACUUUUCUAUCUUCAGUAUUUCCUUUUUUACUUCAUCUUUCUUUUCAAACACCCACUUUUGCAAGAUGGUCAGACCCAUCGAACAUUCCACUUACUACCUUCGUGUCACAAAUAUCCUUUCUCAGUCUUCCAUCUACUGCCACAUAAUCAAUUAAUCCUUUCUGUUCAUAACCCCCCUCCUCCAUGUGUAUAUGUGGAUAUUAUAGACAACAGUAAUAAAGCCCCACACAUCAGAA